UGUUUUGAAAGUUUCUUCGGAAUGAAUUUGAUUUAGUUUAGUGGCGGACGGGUGAGUAACGCGUGAGUAACCUGCCUUCAAGAGGGGGAUAACAUUCUGAAAAGAAUGCUAAUACCGCAUGACAUAUCGGAAUCACAUGGUUCUGAUAUCAAAGAUUUUAUCGCUUGAAGAUGGACUCGCGUCCGAUUAGUUAGUUGGUGAGGUAACGGCUCACCAAGACCGCGAUCGGUAGCCGGACUGAGAGGUUGAACGGCCACAUUGGGACUGAGACACGGCCCAGACUCCUACGGGAGGCAGCAGUGGGGGAUAUUGCGCAAUGGGGGCAACCCUGACGCAGCAACGCCGCGUGAAGGAUGAAGGUUUUCGGAUUGUAAACUUCUUUUAUUAAGGACGAAAAAUGACGGUACUUAAUGAAUAAGCUCCGGCUAACUACGUGCCAGCAGCCGCGGUAAUACGUAGGGAGCAAGCGUUGUCCGGAUUUACUGGGUGUAAAGGGUGCGUAGGCGGCUUUGCAAGUCAGAUGUGAAAUCUAUGGGCUCAACCCAUAAACUGCAUUUGAAACUGUAGAGCUUGAGUGAAGUAGAGGCAGGCGGAAUUCCCCGUGUAGCGGUGAAAUGCGUAGAGAUGGGGAGGAACACCAGUGGCGAAGGCGGCCUGCUGGGCUUUUACUGACGCUGAGGCACGAAAGCGUGGGUAGCAAACAGGAUUAGAUACCCUGGUAGUCACGCUGUAAACAUGAUACUAGGGGGUUGGGGGGUCUGACCCCUUNNCGUGCGGAGUNACACAUAAGUAUCCACCCUGG
rnacentral:rRNA from 1 species